rnacentral:rRNA from 1 species
UUGGUGCUUGCAUCAUGAUUUACAUUUGAGUGAGUGGCGAACUGGUGAGUAACACGUGGGAAACCUGCCCAGAAGCGGGGGAUAACACCUGGAAACAGAUGCUAAUACCGCAUAACAACUUGGACCGCAUGGUCCGAGUUUGAAAGAUGGCUUCGGCUAUCACUUUUGGAUGGUCCCGCGGCGUAUUAGCUAGAUGGUGGGGUAACGGCUCACCAUGGCAAUGAUACGUAGCCGACCUGAGAGGGUAAUCGGCCACAUUGGGACUGAGACACGGCCCAAACUCCUACGGGAGGCAGCAGUAGGGAAUCUUCCACAAUGGACGAAAGUCUGAUGGAGCAACGCCGCGUGAGUGAAGAAGGGUUUCGGCUCGUAAAACUCUGUUGUUAAAGAAGAACAUAUCUGAGAGUAACUGUUCAGGUAUUGACGGUAUUUAACCAGAAAGCCACGGCUAACUACGUGCCAGCAGCCGCGGUAAUACGUAGGUGGCAAGCGUUGUCCGGAUUUAUUGGGCGUAAAGCGAGCGCAGGCGGUUUUUUAAGUCUGAUGUGAAAGCCUUCGGCUCAACCGAAGAAGUGCAUCGGAAACUGGGAAACUUGAGUGCAGAAGAGGACAGUGGAACUCCAUGUGUAGCGGUGAAAUGCGUAGAUAUAUGGAAGAACACCAGUGGCGAAGGCGGCUGUCUGGUCUGUAACUGACGCUGAGGCUCGAAAG